rnacentral:lncRNA from 1 species
AUUCCCGCCUACGCUCCUGGGUAGAGCGUGCGCAAACCUUACCCCUCUCGAGAGAGUAAAGAGACUAUUUUCGGAAGACCCUCGGCUCAAGAAGACAACAGAACCAUAAAAUUAGUAGUAAUUUCAUUAGAGCCAGAAAAUAGAUAAACAGUAACAAAAACCAGCGAAUAAGGCCCGGUACUAUAAAAAAAGAAAUAGUAUGUACACAACAAUAACCGCUAACGGCCUAGGAAGUAGGAAUACUCAACCAUGAAAAAAGAAGAAAAUAAAAAUCUCGUACAUUUCGUAUGCAUAUAUCAAAACCUUAAAGAACAGGACAAAGAACAACACUAAUGUAUUACUUAUAUUGUAAAAAUUUCCUAGUAUACAUCUGUGAUUUCCAUGUACAAUAUAAAGCUAAAAAGAAAAGCUAAAACAACAAACGUAUAUCAAGCUACUAGCUACAAAACCUUUGGAAUUUGAGACAUAUGAUUAUGAAUGAAAAAGGUAACAUUGAUUAUGUAGAGCCGUACCGGGUGUGACCAAGCGAUCAAUAAACUGGACAAAAAAAUAUUUGUGGACGGACUUACCAGAUAUACGAGCUAGUCGAGAUGCAGACAAGUUGACUAUAAAACACUGCUAUAAUAAAAAUUAAUUAUGUAGAGGGUUUGGUCCUCCGGGGACGGUUCGAUGUGAAACUCUAUAGCUUUGAUCAAUAUCUUCUUUUCUUGAUGUUGUAGGAGCUGGUGCAGAAAUAUGCCAUGAAAAUCUUGAAUCUAACUUUGUGUUGAAUCUUUGUUCUGUGUUUGUUGGGAUGAUUUCUUGGAUUUUUCUACAGCUUGAAAAUUGAAUAUGAAAAAGCAUCACAAUAAUUAGCAGAAAUGGAAAAGCAAGGCAAUGAAUUCUCAUGACUAUAAAAAUAGAAAGAAGAAGAAGAAGAAAGAAAUAUAGGAAAUGGACAAAGUAAAAUUAGGCAGGUGGAUUGGAUUUUGAGCUUAUUUACUUUUUGUAGAAGUGAUGACUAGUCUCUAUUAAUAUGUGCUAAAGAAUCUGUGGUGCAGAUAAGAACCAGAAAAAACUAACAUUGUCUAGUGUAAAAUGACAUACAUACCCUCGUUAGUUUUCCUUUAUGAUGUCUUAAAUAGUUUAAGUAAAGUCUAGUGUAUAGCGGUGUAUAUGAACCGGGUUAGUUCGUUUUUUAUCAAAAUCAAACCAAACCAACUAUUUGGUUUGGAUUGAUUCGAUUUUAUCGGGGUUUUUCCGGAAUUUUCGGGUUUUUUUGUUACAUGAAAAUUAUUUUAAUCUUACUUGGUUAAAUGUAUAGAUAAAGUGUUGUUCUAGGUGAAUAUAUAUUUAGUAAAAUUUUGAAAAAACCGGCAAAUAUAUGAUCCAUUAAAAAAUUCUCGUGGAAUAUUUUUUUUAGUAACACAUGAUAGUUAUUUUCUUAGUCAUCUAAUAAUAAUUUUUGGUUGAUGUACGCUUUCAAGGUUAACCAAAUUUAAUAAUUAAACAUAAAAAUCAAUUUGAAACCUAAAUAAUGAUAUGUUCUAUUUAAUUUUAAAAUUAUUGAAAUACCAUUUCAACUUCAAAAAAGAUAUAAGAGUUUAAUAGAUAUUGACAUAUGAAUAUGGAAGAAAAAAGAGAUUGAUACAUUUCAGUAAUACUUGAUAAGAAAGUAAUGGUACAACUCAUUAUUUAAAGCAAAUAAAAAUAGUUGCACUUCAUAGAUUAGAAUUACAUUCCCUGAGAGGAUCCCAAAUAUUUCUAGAUAUCUUUUAAAGAAAAUUCUACAUAAAGUCUUAAAAGUAUAUAUAAAAAUUAUAUAUUUAUAUGUCAGUUUGGUUCGAGUUUUUUUUAAUCAAUAUCAAACCAAAUCAAACCAAACUUAAUCGGAUUUUUUAAUCGAUUUGGAUUGACUUUUCGAUUUGAUGCGGUUUUUUGAAUUAUAUGUAAUUACAUUUGUUCAAAAUGGUGAAAUCCGUGAAAAGAGAAUCAUAAAAAUCAAAGAGUGUCCAUUUAACUUUGAUGAGAAAACUUGAAAAGGGUUUGAGAACAAAUACUUGCAAAUGCAAAAUUAAGUUUUUAGACUGAUAUUUGCCUUUACGAUUUUCUUAUUCUUGACAAAAUUUUAUUUAUUUCCUUCGACUAAGAUAAACUUACAUAAGGUCUUUUUCAUCGUUGGAUAUUUGGCGUUCAUGAAAGGUGUAAAGGAAGGAAAUUGCAAUAAAUUCAUAUAAUAAAUUUUGAUAUACGGAAGGUUUUAGGAGGUAGAAUUUUCACUAAGUACAUCUAUUACAUAAACAUUAAAAAAUUAAACUUUAUAUAUACAAUACAUUCGAUGAAAUAGGUUCGGAUGAACCCCUUGCGCCCCUAACUCGGUCCCUCUAAUGUUUAAAGGUUAAAAUAGUCAUUUUAGGUAGAUGGAAUAGAAGUGUGAAUAAAGAUGUUGCUUGGAUGUAAUGAAGAGUUGACGAGAAUUUCAUUUGCCCAUUCAUUAAAUAGUGAAAACAAACGGUGUUAUAUUUUUUUAAUUGUUGGUUGGACUUUAAGAGGUUUUCAGGAGUCCCAUCUUAUAGGCACGUGGUGCAAGUGCAAAGCCAGCAAUUGUCUCAUGUUCUUGCCGUCCCUCUAGUAAUUUCAGACUUUUCUUUUUUAUCUCCCUAAUUUUUUAUUUUUUGACGUCCUAAAAAUAAAUGAAAAUGGAAAAAACACCCUAUUCAUGACUAACAAGAAGCACGCGAAAAAAAAAGGAAAUUUCUUGGUUUCGAUUACUGGUGUCGGGCUUUAUCUACUGGUUAUUUCUUAUAAUGUUGUUAUUUUUUUAUGGUUUUAUGAUGAUACUAAUAUAUUGUUUCUUUUUGUCUUCUUUAGCCGAGGGUCUCCCGGAAAUAACCUCUCUGUCCCUCGGGGUUGAGGUAAGGUCUGCGUAUACAGUACCUUCCCCAGACUCCACUAGUGGGUUUACACUUGGGGUUGUUGUUGAUUUGUAGAUGUUGGUUUUCUUUGUUCUUUUACUUAUAAAUUUGAUUUUAUUUAAUGGUGAGGUCGCAACAUAUAUGAUGUGAAAACGCACGUUAUAUAUUUAAACUUUGAUUAUAAAUUAAUUUUAUUUAUUAAGUACAGAAUAGUAGAGUCUAAACUAUUAAUUUAAAGUUAUGAGAAGAUAUUGUAUAUAUCAUUUAAUUUGAAAGAAUGAGACAGAAUAGGUUUUGUCAAUGUCGUUUUCGCAGGAUAUCGCGUGUUUAGGAAGAUAGGAAAUCCUUAUGGUUAGGUUUUUCUUUUUUGUCAAUUUUCUAAUUGUAGUGAAAUUCAAAAUAUUUAAGUAUAUAAAAUUUGCAAGAGGACUUUGGUUUCUUAACAUGACGUAGGGCUUUAGGCCCCUUUGGACCUAGGGACAAUGACAUAAAUAGAAAUAGCACGAGUUAGUCAGUUUUUGGACUGAUAAUUGAAAAAUAGUCAGCAUUUGUAAAGUUAUUGGAAAAUAGCCACUAUUUUGUUGCAACACGAAAAGUUCCAGCAUGAUAUACUGAAGACUGGUGCACCUGUGUAUGAACUUCCAGCAUAUUAUGUUGGAACUCCAACACAUGGAAAAUUCCAACAUAAUAUACUGGAAAUUGGAUCACUUGUGUAUGGACUUCCAGCAUGUUGUGCUGAACCAUUAUAUUAUGUUGGAACUCUAGUAUAUUAUGCUGAAAUAUUUUCCUGAUUUUGAACAGUGUUUUCGUUCAGAUUUAUCUUUACAUAAGAAGUGGUUAAAUUUUAAUUACUUUUGAAAUUAUGACUAUUUUUUUCAAUUACCACUUAUAAAUCUGACUAUUUUUGAAUUUUACCCUAUUAUUUUUGAUCCGAUAAGAAAAGUUUUCUGGUCAGAAUUUGAAAACACGUGUGGUCAGAAAUUUUUAGGCAAGGCUACCGUCUAAAAAGAUAUUUCUCUCCCUAAACUGUUAAAUCCCAAAAUUAUUUACAAUAUUAACUUACAAUUUUUUAUCUUGAAUUCUAAUUAAUCUCUUGAAUGGAUUUGGCUGGUAAAAGGCAAAAAAAGGAAUAUUUGGUAAUUCAAGAACUGACUUUUCAAAAUUCAGAAAAUCAUAGUAAUGAAAAUUUGAUCCUAGGGAAUUUGAAAAUAAAAAUAAAAAUAUUCAAGAGUCUAAUACACACUAGUAGGAGUUGCCCGGGCGAAGCCCGGGCCCAACAUGAAACUUUCCCCGAGGGUAUGGUAUGUUUUUUUUUUUUGGUGGAAUGAAUUUUUUUAUUCAUCUCCAAACAAGUACAUCAAUAGGAAUACAAUGAGAAAACUAUAAAGCAGCUAACUAUGCUUCUAACUAUAUAAUGAAGACCGUACAAUUCCUUUCUAUCUAUCUAUAUAUUCCUUCUAUCCAACUUCCAUCAUUUAUUUUUGUUCUCUUGUUUAAUACUUCUACCAUAAGAAUCUUGCAUUCUUCUUUAAUUUGCUCACACACUUUAUGUGGUUUAGGCACUGAACUCUUCCAUACGGCUUCAUUCCUACCUUUCCAUACAUAGUAGUUGAUUGCUGCUAAUGCUGCAUAUGCAAACUAUGCGCUCAAUUUUCGAGCCAUCUUCCUUGCCACUCUUCUCCAUAAUAGCUACCCCUUGAUUUUUAGCCAUUCCAAUAUUAUACCAAUGCAUCCGUUGGAGAACUGGCACUCAUAGAAUAGAUGCUCUAUAGUUUCCUGUUUAUCCCCACACAGCACACAUAGGCCAUCAGUAUUCAUCCCUCUGCGCCCCAGCCUAUCCUUUGUGAGUAGCUUCUUCUGCAUAGUCAACCAGCAAAUGAAGCUGUGUUUUGGCAUGUUCUGCUCCAUACCCAUCGUCCCCGUUGACAAUUGCCUAGGGACCCUUUUAGCCAUUCAUAUCCCUUUUGUAUUGUAUAUUUCCCUGUACUUGACUGCCACCCCCUGUUUACAUAUCCUUCUGCCAGUUUGUCUCUAACAUAUCCUUUUGUAUGGUGUGGCUUUGUUAUUUGCAUCGCAUAUUGGCUCUUUACUCGUCCAAGGCAAACCAGCAGAGACUAAAGUAGCCCAGCAUGAAACUUUCUCCCAAUUAAGAGACCACAAUGCAUUGACUAUACAUUUUAAAAAAGGAACAUCUAUGUAUUGAUUAAAAAAUUCCAGCAUCAAGAUAUGUGAAAAUUACCGCAAUUUCUUAUAAUUUUCUCAAGAAGCUAAAAUCUUGUCUAUUACCUCUCACUAUGGCCACCCACUGAUCACGGAACAUGCAUCUGAAUGACACGAGAACAUCAUAUUACCUAUUCGCUGCAUAAAAUAUAUGAAUGACAACGUGCAUCAUGGGACUUCAUUCUUUCAGCCAGCAAAUUAACAACAGAUUUUAUGGAAGAAUUGCAUUUUUGUCUCUCCAAUUCAUUCAUGCGUCAUUGUAAUAACAUUGCCUCUUUUUUAUCAACUGAUAUCUUCCCAUAACUAUCACGCCGCCUGAGUUUCAUUUCAUCAUUUCUCUCUUCUGAAUAUGGAUGUUUAUUUCUUUGUUUGGAAGACAUUUCUUGACAAGCUAAUUACCGCAAGAUAGCUGCAUUUCAAAUAGUUCAGAAAGAAAAAAAUUUCCAUUGACAAUACAAAAAUAGUUGAAUACAGUAUAACAAAUUCAAAGAUUAGCUGGUAACAUCACAAUUAUCAACCCCCCAAAAAAGAUUGUAAUAAGCAAAAUGCUGGUAGACAUAUGUAAAAUGUCAUUCAUGUAAAAAUAAAGUACAGGUAAACACAUAUGUAAUCUUUUUAAAUGAGGAAGUACAGAGGUAUAGUUUCAGUUCACUUUAUACCUAAAAUAACUGCGGAUACCUAAUUUGAAAGUAAUGCCUGAAAGAUUUACUUUGAAAUGAAGCAGCAUCAACACAUAUUGAUCUAUUCUAACAUAUAUUAAAAGCAUCAUUAGGUAAACAUAGAUCUGUCUGGAGACUCUUAUGGGAUAAAAUUUGAUAAGCUUAACCUUAAUUUUAGUAGGUCUGCUCGUUUUACAAUCUUCUCUUGGGCUAACUUCUACUAAAUUUAGCUUAAGGGGUUGAUCCCGAGAAACUAUACAUUGAUUAAUAUGGUGCCAAGUGUAUCUUGUUGUCUCAAAUUUAGAUUUAUGGAUCAUUUAGAUUUAUGGUCCCGAGAAACACAUCGUGCCAAUCGACUAAGAACUCAACAUGUAGCUUAAAUGUGUUAUCCAAUAAUAAAAUCUGCAUAAAGUAAUUUAAGUACUAAUUUUGAUACAUCUAUACUUUGAAAGGCUUUACAAAAUUACUAUUGUCAAAUACAAUGAAGCUCCUUUCUAUUUUGAAUUGUUUACACAUUUUUAGUUUGAAAAAACUCACAAGACCCGAAAAAACUUAACCACUCCAGAUUCUUCCUGGGCAAAAGAGUUCACCGAAGAACCAUGAGAAUGAAUUCUUAAUAGCAAAAAUCCAACACAUAUGAAAACCAAUUGGCGGAAUAUCGAAUCGUCGCUGCCCAUGAUGUGCCUAAACUCAAAUUACCAGCCCCUCCUUCCUAAGGGAAGCAACAAAUUAACCGAAAGAUAAUAAUAAAAGUCUAAUCGAAGGCCUAAUUCGUUGAAGAAUUUUCUCAAAUGCUUACAGAGCCAAAUGAAACGGAAAAACACAAGAUGAGAACAAGGAAACCCAGCAGAAAACAACGAUCAAACUGCAAAAUCCAAAUGAAUUGCAGAAAAUUGCAAGAUAAUUAUGAAAUAAAAUAACUGAAAACAGCAGUAACAUAAUCCUCACCUGAGAUAAGAAAAAGCACCGUAAAAAAAAGUUAAGAACGAAGAGCAGAAGUCCUAGAGAGCAAAACCUAAGAACUGUUCCACUGAUAGAAAACAUCAAAUCUGGAGUUUCUUUGAUUUAGCAUAGAUUAUAAUGACCAAAGUCCAUCAAUAAUUUUGACCAUUUUAGACAGAAUAAGUAAUUAUUUAAAAGUCCAUGAAUAAUUUCCUAUAUAUAACAUUGGAAAUGGAGCAAUAAAAAAUCAACUUCAAAAACAAUGGCCAAAAAAAGAGGAUGAAAUUCUUAUUUAGUAACUGAUAAAUCAAUAGAUUUUAUUUGAGAAAAUUAUAAGUUUAAACAAUAUCAAGUACUUAAAAAUUAAAACAUAAGCUAUUAAUGUUCACAUGGUCCUCCAUAUGACACUAAAUUCCCAGUUACAACCCCAGAGUUUGGAUAAUCAGUAACCCUAUAUAAAUUUGGACUAUUUGCAUAUAAUUUCACUAAAAUAUUAUCUAAAGACUUAGUUUUAUUUUUAUCUGUUAAGAAAGUACAUUUCUUACAAUAUGCAUCUUUUUUAAGGUCUCCAACAGGAAAAUAGCCACUGCCCAUUGGAGGUUCUGGAAUUCCUGGAGGACUAUACACAACUCCUCCAUGUUCAGCACUUGUUGCAAAUCCUUUUAAGUUAGUAAAUAUUUUUGCAGGCCAAAAUCCAACUGCUGUUAUUCCAAAAUAAAACCACCAAUUUCCAUUUGACAUGUCCUGUAUAUAAAAAAGGAAACAGUUAGAUAAAUAAGUUAUGUGCGCUGACAGUUAAAAAAAAAAGGGCAGCCCGGUGCACUAAACUCCUGCUAUACGCGGGGUCUGGGGAAGGGCCGGACAACAAGGGUCUAUAGUACGCAGCCUUACCCUGCAUUUCUGCAAGAGGCUAUUUCCACUACUUGAACCCAUGACCUCCUAGUCACAUGACAACAACUUUACCAGUUACGCCAAAAAAUAUGUGUUCUGACAGUGUAAAAAAUAUUUAUAUAAUCAGGGCUAGCUUACCCAAGCAACAUACAUCGGUACAUCAAAAACAGGUCCACCAUAGGAAGAACCUGGAAGUUGCCCAUCUAAAGGUAUUGCAGUGUUUAUUUGUAUAAAACCUGGACAUCGAGUAUUAUAACAAGCUAAUUUUCCAGCCUGUGGUGGUAAGAAAAGAAAAAAUAAGAGUCAUUGAUACGUCGACUAUCAAACAUAUCGUAAUUGAUUAAACAGUAUUGAACGUCAUCAAAAUGGAAUACAAUUAGUAUUAACACGAAAGAAGCUAAGAAAAUUACCGUAAAAUAUGUGUAUAGUCGUGUAUGAGUGUCCCCAUAGACGGGUGGAUUAACCUUCAAUUGAAAAAAAAGUAAAGUUAUUAGGUAAUAGAUGACUUUAAGAAAUGGAAUUAUAACGCUUUGAUUAGCAUAGGCUGAUGCAAGAUUUAGAGUUAGUGAACCAGCCUAGGCUAUAUACAUAUAACUCGAGUUGAAGGCCGCGAAUAUGGAAUUAUAACAAUUUAAUUGGCUUAGACUGAUGUAAUAUUUAAACUUGUGUAUUCAGUGUUAGUGCAGACUUAUAGUUAUAUAUAUAACUCGAGUAGAAGGCAGUGAAUGUAAACUUAUAACGGUUUGAUUAGCAUAGUUUGAUACAAGAUUUAGAGUUAGUGAAUUCAAAGUUAGUGCAGACCGAGUUGAAGGCAAUGAAUGUGAAAUUACAACGGUUGGAUUACCACAGUUGAUGCAAGACACAGGGUUAAUGGAUUCUGUUAGUGCAGACUUAUUUAUAUAUAUAAAUAUAAUUCAAGUUGAAGAUAAUGAACGUGAUACCAUAUCCGCUGGCGAUUACCUCUAUCCACCUGUGUUGAUUAGUGUAGUAAUUAAAAGUCAUGGAUUGCUAAUGAAGAGCAAAGUAAGAACUUACAGUCCACCCAACUUGUAUGCUGUCAAUCCCAUUCUGAACUUUUAUACGACCUCCGCUAUGUUGAUGCCCGCUAAGAUUUUGAGGAUUAUGCAAACUAAUAAUUGCUCCUGCUCCUGCUAUUUUGUUUCUUGGACUGUAUGGGAUUUGUACAGAUGCAAACUGAAUGAAGCAAUAUCACAACAUCAGAUUGUUAAGUGUAGGUAAGGUUGCUAGCUACAAAACAAUGUAAUAUUAGUGAACUUAAUAGCCAAAACUAUAAGUGGGCAGACAGAGGCGAAUCCAUGAACUAGUGUUUUUUUAGCUUGAAUAUGGAUAAUAAAAGCAGACAAACCUUGUAGCCUCCUCCCAAAGGUUUGGUUCCGUCUGAAACAAUACCCUUCAUAGAAAAAUAAUGACACUUUGAGAAUUAAAGUAUACAAAAGAGAUUUUGAGUUUAUUGAAAAUCAAAAGAGUUGUAGAAAUGCUUGCAGAAGACUCACGUUACCAUCAGGAGAAUCAUCUCCCCCUCUCAUUUGCUUUGUAAGUCUCUGCCUUAUUAGGUCGUCCUUUGUAAUUCUUCUAAUAGGAACUGUUCCAACAGGACAACCUCCGCCUUCUAACUCUAUGUUAAAAGGUCUAUUAUUGUUUGAAGAAAUGUCAUCUCCUUGCAACAUAGAUAACAUAGGUUUCAUCUGCAUCCAAAGGUAAGUGUUAUGAGUUUCUAUGUAUAUAUAUAUAUGUAUGAUAUUUUCUUUCAAAAAAAAAAAAGGGAUUAUACGAACUCGGAACUUUUGUGUACAGAUAUACCUGGGGAUGAAAAUUAUGAUUCUUCAACAGAGGAUGGUCGAAUGCAGGUUGUUUGUAAAAGUCUACACAAUCAUAUAGUUCUCCAUAUUUGCCCUGCUAGUCAAAUUGCAAUCAGUCUCCAAUCUUUUACAUAUAAAAACAUAUCUCCCAAGACUUAAGAAGUUACAAUUCAAACUGUAGUUUCACGAGUUUGAAUCUCAGUGAUCUCCGUAUAGUUCUAAAAUGACAAAUCUAUAUUUGCUCAUAACAAGCGAAAGGCAUUAUUUUCAUUUGUGUAACAACAAAUAAUAGCCAAGGACAUGUAGAAUCUAUAAAAUUUGCAUAAGACAGAUAGAGAUUGUACCUUAAUAGUCUUGAUUGCCGGCUUAUUAAGAAGCUUUAGUUGCUUCUCUAACUCUAAGUCCUUUGCUUUAGACAACCUCUGUUCUGCUUCAACUUCAUAAUGGUUCAAAAGGAGAGAAAUCGCAAGCAAAAUCUGUACGAUGGCUCUCUGAUGCAGUGACAUUUUCUACAUAUUCAAGAAAAUCGUAAGCAAUCUCUUGACACAUUAAAUAUCACUCGUUUAAAACGAAGUAUGUUUUAGAAUGAUGACCUUAUCUCAGAAUGCUCAAAAGUUAUAUCCAACCAGAAUAAAAUCCUCAACAAUGUGAUAUGACAAAUUUUUGUUUUACUUUCCAAUUCAUUUAAUUUCAACCAAAUAUAUCAUCAGUUAUCAGCAACAACAACAACAAAGCCAGUGUAAUCCCACAAGUGGGGUCUGGGGAAGCUGGUACACAGCCUUACCCUACCUUGUGCAGUAGAGAGGCUGUUUUCGAUACACCCUCGGCUCAAAGCAAUCAUCAGUUAUCAGCAAGUUACUACAAAAUAUAAGAGAGUUGUGACACAAGAAUUGCCUGAUUUGUUGCAACUCUGAACACAAAAUACAGAUUGAACUUUGAAGUAAAAACAUCAAACUAAAGGCAUUUAUUUAUACUAAUAAAAAAGGGAUAGGCUGGAUCAAAUGUGUAGUUUGACUUAAUGCAUAAGAGAGGUUUGACGUAUAAGUGAUUGGAUUACAUCUAAAAAGGAAAAAGGUUUAAAUUGCAGAUCUCUAGUUUUCAUCAUAAAGGGAAACUCUCUAAUGAUUAUUCUAAUUCUGCUUGAAUCAAAUUCAAACGAAAAUUUUCUGCACAUAUUUCCCUUAUGUAAAUGAAUUUAGUACCUAAUUUAGAAGAUUACAACAUGUUAUACGGAUUGAGUAAAUCCAUCAUCUCAAGUGGUCUUUUCAAUGUCAAUACUCAAUAUAAACCACUCAUAUCGUGAAAAUAAGGGAUUUGAACACGUGUUUCCUCGACAUGAGGUUUACAUCCAUUUAUACAUCAGGGCCAGCUUAUCCGAGCAAUAUACAUUGGUACAUUAUAAACAGGUCACCAUAGGAAGAACCUGGAAGUUCCCCAUCUAAAGGUAUUGCAGUGUUUAUAGGUAUCAAACCUGGACAUUGAGUAUUAUAACAAGCUAUUUUUCCAGCCUGUGGUCAUAAGAAAAGAAAUACUAAAUAAGAACGUUGAUACAUCAAUUUUCAAGCAUUUCGUAGUUAGACAAUAUUGUCAUCAUUAAAAAGCAGCAAAAUUAGUAUUAACAUGAAAGAAGUUAAGGGAACUACCUUAAAAUAUGUGAGUCGUGUAUGAGUGUCCCCAUAGACGGGUGGGUUCACCUUCAAUCGAAAAAUCAUAAAGUUAUUAGGUAAUAGAUGACUUUAAGAAAUGGAAUUAUAACGCUUUGAUUAGCAUAGGCUGAUGCAAGAUUUAGAGUUAGUGAACUCAGCGAUGCUGCAAUCAUAGGCUAUAUACAUAACUCGAGUUGCAGUGAACUAACAAUUUGAUUAGCAUAGGCUGAUGCAAUAUUUUAAAGUUAGUGGAUUCAGAGUUAGUGCACACAACCUUAUAUAUAACUGGAGUAGAAGGCAGUGCACAUAAAAUUAUAACGGUUUGAUUAACAUAGGUGAUGCAAGAUUUAGAGUUAGUUAAUUAAAUGUUACAAUGUUGAGGAUUAAUUUUCAUACAGCAGAUACUUGAUAAUUUAUGUCUAGUUUCUAUUUAGCAGUUUUAGCAAUCAUUUCAAAUAACAGUCGAAAAACAAUUUUCAGCACAGUUUCUCGAUAUUACUUCACAUACAGUCCUUAACAAAAAAAAAAAAAAUAAAUAACCUCACAUACAGUCCAUUAUACUCCACUCCAGCAACUAUAUCCACCUUUAAUUUUAUACUUCUCUAUUUCAUAACAGAUAAUCAGCCAUUCCAGGUAGAAGAAAAGGAAGACAAGACAGUUAUGAGCUGCAUCCUGUAUAUCUUAAAUUACUUAAUAUUUCUUUAGUUUAUUCUCCUCUUAACAGAAAAAUAUCACCCAAUAUGUGCAGCAUUCACUGCUCAAUAAUAAUGAUACCCUCUCCAGUUCCACUGAUUGUUCAUAAACAUGAAUUUUUAUCUACAGAGUAAUGCUAUGUGUCUGUAUCCAUCUAUACAUAUCACCACUACACAUAAAGAGACUAUAUAUAGGAAUCAGUAACUUAUGUGUUCCAGCAAACAGAAGGGAAGCAGGUAGUCGGGUGUUUUUAUGAUCUUUACCGAGUUGUUUAGAGCUAGUCUGGUAGUAUCUUGUCGUUGUUCCUAGAUUGCCAGUAUUAUGGCUAUCUCUUACUAUCUUCCGCUUCAGCUUUCUAGUAUCUUGUCGUGAUUACUGCUUGUUGCUAAUGCUUUUCUCCAUCUAUUUUUUUUCUAGUUCUUAGGUUGUUGUUAUCGUUUUUUUGACUAUGUUGUUGAUAUUUGAUUGUUUCUAUUCAUCCUCUCGAGCUGAGGGUCUUUCGGAAACAGUCUCUCUACCUCCCAGGGUAGGGGUAAAGUCGGCGUACACACUACCCUCCCCGGACCCCACUUGUGGGAUUUCAUUGGGUUUGGUGUUGCUGUUGUUGUUCUUCCCCAUCAAUUAAUGGUCUAUUCCAACUUAUGUCUUGUAUGUAAAUUUAGUCUGGACAGUGUUUUUUUUUUUGGGAUAACGCUGGUGCCAUUUUGUUGAAAUUACUUUUAAGUUUCUUAUAUUUGAAUAUAAUAUCUAUCACAUGGUGGUCUCAAAUUAAAGUUCCAAAUUUGUGAUUGAUGCCUUAACAUAUGUUGCGCAGACUCUCCAAGAUGUCGCUGUACCCGUAUCGGAUCCUCCAAAAAUACACUACAUUUGGAGGAUCCAACAUGCAUCCAGCGGCAUUUUCGGAGAGUCCUAGCAACAUACACCUAAACUAUCCAUGAUUGCCACAUUGAGGAUCAGCCUACAAUGAAAAAAAUUAUACUGUUAUAGAAAUCAAUCUUCUUAUUUGGAAUCUUUUCUUCAUUCAAUUAGCGUAGGAUUCCGUCUAGCUCUUCCAUCUUUAUCUAAGCACCAGCAACAUGACAAUGUAGUUUGAAAUAUGUAAGAUAAUAAAAGAAUAAAUCUAAAAACAAUAAUGAUUUCAUCACCUCAAACUAUAACAGACAAGUUUUAACACAAACUAAUAUUUUCAGAUAGGAAAACUAGUACUGCAGGCAGAUUCAAGAAUAAAGGAAAAGAAUCAGGUUAAAUAUGGCCAGUCAGAAACACAAAAAUAAACUAAGCCAAACAGUAGAAAACCAAUUGCGACACCUCUAACUAUCAUUUCUUUCUCCUUUUCUAUACACAGAAUGUGAUAAGUCCUUGAUAAAAUUAAACACCUGACUGCAUGUCUGAUUUUUUGGGAGGCUAGAUUCAGCAUAUCUGUGAGUUCUUCUUGUGUAGUGGAUUUUUGGAAUCCAAAAUUGGUGGUGCACUCGGUCUGUCCACUGGAACUCCUGUCCUUGCACCAGUUGAUGAUUACCCUAUCAAAGGAGCAAAUGACGGUCGUCCUCGACCAGGAUGUACAAAGGCAUGGCGAUUAGAUACAGCUAUUCCUGGAUAAGCAGUGGAGACAGGAAUUGGAGGUGACUGAAACAUCAUUGGCGGGACACAAACCCUGCUUCCAUAGAUAGUAUCUGCAAAAAACGGGAUGCAGUUAGAAAUAGUAGGUAGGACUCUAAUUUUCAGUUCUUAAAGAAAGCAAAUUGCACAACAGCAUAGAAAGGUGAAAACCAUCAUCUAACCUGUACUUGCAGUUGAAGUGUCUUCAAAUAUUCAAUAGCUUCAUCAAGCAUUAAAGCUUUAUCCGCCUAGCAAUCAAUAAGGAAAGCCAUCAAAAUGAUUCAAAAUGAGAAACUACAGGAGAAGGAGUUAGGAUACAAAAUGGUUGGGGUAAUGGCUAAUUUUAAGAUUACCAGCAACACUUCACCAAACCGUGUCAGUUUCAAAGUAACUAGAAAUAUAUGAGUGAAAUAUCAGCACAAUAUUAAUCUAGCUUAUGCAUUGAGCUUAAAUAAAUUACUGGUAUUUUCUGAGUUUUUAAUUAACUUGGAGUUGAUUGCUUGAUGAGACAUGGUAGAAAAACAAAAAAGUUUUUUAUAG